GAUCCUCCCGCCUCGGCCUCCCAGAGUGCCAGGAUGACAGGCGUGAGCCACCGCGCCCGGCCACCAUUGUUAAACGUGAUCACAGUGAACUGAACGGUUUCUCUUGAGCAGAGAGGUCACUGGACGGGGCUUUCUCUCAUUUCUUCAAACCCUUCCAAGGACUUUCCUGAUGUCAACCUCAGGCUGCUCUCCCGCACGGCGGCACCUGCCCCUCCACCUGGGACCCGGCCCCAGACACCUGCAGACCCAGCUGUUUGUCCCUGCUCUGCCGGCACUUGACCAGGGCGCCGUUUUCCUCCACUCUCGGCCACCUGUGCACAGCGACGGUGCCGUCCUCACCUCCACCUCCCUCGUGGCUUGAGGCCCAGUUUUCCGCACUCAGUGGGCUCCCAUUUUACAUGAAAUGUGAAAUUUCCUUUUCCUAAAUAUAAUUUUUUUCCUUUAUGAAAAUACUGUCUAAUCCAGUUUUUGGCAGAGGACACACCGGGCUGUAUUUAUUGGCAAUAUAAUUAUCUACUGAAGCAAAGGGAAAAGAAAUCAGUGUUUAAUGAGGUCCGAAGCCAAAGCGUUCUCUGCAGUUUCCUCUGGCCUCGGCCUUUUCAAGGUGCCACUGGAACCGGAAUCCCGAGUGGAGGGAAACCAAGCCCAGGCUCCCUUUGCAGAAGGGAACCCCUGUCCGUGUCUCUGGAGGGGCGUCCCACCCUCCCUCGUGAGCCAGGAGCACUGCUGCGCCCCAUCGGACGUGACGUUCAGCCACCGCAGUAUCUGGAAGGUUUUGUUUCUUUGUGUUAGGGGACAGAACCGGCCUCACUAAUCACCGUCUGGGGCCAGGGGUCACCCUUCCCAGGUCACACGCUCCCGCCAGGCUGUUCCCCCGCAAAGCAGCCCCCGGCUCAGUGUAUCCUGGCUGGCCCGGCCCGCGGUGCCCCCGCAGGUCAGGGGAGGGGAGAGCUGAGCGCCGGACAUGGGAAAACGACAGCAUCAGGCUCUGGGAACGUGCCCGGGCGCCUCUGUAGACACGUGAGUUACUCUGUGUUUUCGUAAAGCUCAGCCUGCUUUCGUGGUCUCAUGGCGGUUCACUGGCGCUGCCAAGAUCCCGAGCCGAUAAGGCGACAGCCAUCUCCACGCAGACACGACUGUCUGCGCUCACCCUGCCUGCUGGGACAGUGGCACACUGCACAAGGAGAGAUGCCUUUCUGCUGAGGAGACGCCGGGUGAGGUGGGGCUGAGGACGGACGACGAAGCCCCCUGCGUAGCCUGGGGAGCAGGGGGAUCUGGAGAGAAACGCUUUCCCACCGACUGCGGGAUUCACCAGACCAAAGGGCACCAGUGGCAGCGUCACGCCAGCACGUCCGUGGGGCGUGGGAGAGAACAGAGAAGCCGUUUGAAGGAUGGUUCUGGCCACACAGCACACUUGCGACCCGUGUUCCCUAAUUCUCCAAGCGUGUGAAUCUCUUAUUGAACAGUCUGAGCUUCCUGUGGAGGUUUAAAAAGAAACCAUCUUCCUCUCUGCCUUCAGCCUCUCUGUGACAGGUCUCCCGCUCCUUGUCCUUCGCGGCACCCCAGGGACACGCCAAGGUUCCCAAGAUUCUCUCACAAUGUAAGGGAAGCCCCGGAUGUGGGCCGUGCGGCCUCGUUGCCUUGCAGAACUCCUUUCUCUGUGAGCCGCAGUGGAACAGGAGAACUGCCCGUCUGCAGACCUCUGCGUCCUUUUGCAAAACCCCAGUUGGAGAUGGUGACCGUGGUGUUAUCUCAAGUCUGUUAUACAAGGAUCCACUUGGUAAAUUCCUCCUUGAACACAGUGCCAGGAAAAAUUUCUCUUUCCAGUCUGAUUCCAAACUUACUGCACAAUGACAAGUAUAUGAGCCAGCGUGUUUCCCUUUCGUCCAGGAAACCUAGAGAUAAAUCAGCGUUCAACUGUAGUAAACAACUCAUCCCAGGUGCCUUACAACAUAUUGUUCUCUUUUGCUCUGGCUCGUUCUUCUUUGAGUCGAGUUCUGUUUUUCAUGUUUCCUUGGACUCUUUUGGGAAACAGUGAGGUGUGAAUGUCCCCCAAUUAAAUCCAUGCACACAAACAAGUACGAUGACAUAGGUGGCCCCUUCUCGUCCCUUCCUCCCGUCACUGCCCCAGGCCACAUGCCAGGCCCCGGGGUGCAGGCAGGAAAGGCGCUGCCCGUGCACUGCUCAUGGGUGGGCUACGGGGGAAUGUGCUGUUGUAGGACAGACACGAAUCCAAGGCGGAACAGGGUUGACGCCGAAAUCGGGGGACAAAGAAAAAGCUAGAGGGGUUCAGAAGAAGAGAGAGUGAUUCUGAAAAGAGAUAACAGAAUGGGGAAGGCUUCGUGGAUGGAAGGAAAUUUCAACUGGACUGGGAAGGACGGGAAGGAUUUUGAAGGCAGAGACAGAGGAGGAAGAACACCUCUGACUAAGAAAACAGAUUGAACAAAGACUUAUGCGGGAAAGAAAGAAAUCCUCUUCCACAUCUGCAAAAACAGUAGGAAUUGAGUUUGGCUGGUAGGUAUGAUACAUGAAGGAGUCAAUGAGGGCUAAGGAUAAGAUUCUUUUUCAGUGAUACGUACUUUGCAAUUUAUAAACAGACCUUGGGUUCAAAGCUGGGUGCAGUGGCGCACGCCUGUAGUCCCAGCCCCGGGGAGGCUGAGGAGGGAGGAUCCCUUGAGCCCAGGAGUUGGAGGCUGCAGUGAGCCAGGAUUGUGCUGCCGCACUCCAGCCUCCAACGGUGGGACCCUGUCUUUAGAAAAA